rnacentral:lncRNA from 1 species
CGUGGACACGGGCGGGGCCGAGCGGGCUCGCCGCACCUAGGGCUUUAUAGGUCACGAGCAAGUCGCGCGGAGUCUACGGCAGGCGGCCGCAGGGAGCAGGUUGCGCCCAGACGCUCCGCCCCCCGCCGCGGCCCUCGGGCGUCCUUCCGCCCAGCUCGCCGAGCCUUCACCUCCGCGCCGCUGGGGCGGCCUGCGUCCCAGCAGCUAGCGACCGUGGGCCAUGGCCGCCGCGGGGAGUUCCCGGCUCCUGCGUAUCGCCUCCGCAGCCCUGGGUGGCUCGGCCCGCCGCCCACUGCUCCUCGCCGGACCCCAUGCGGGGGCCAGCGGCCUGCCGGGGAAGCCGGGGCCGGGCCUGGGCGGCGGCGCGCGGGCAAGCCGGCCGCUGAGCGUGUCGGCGCGGAGCAGGUGAGGCGCGGGCGCACAUUGGGGUCCCGGCUGGGGGCUGCUCUCCGUAGGCCGCAUUUCGCGAUGCCGGGUCCUCGCCUGGCGCCUGCGUGCGGGGUCCUUCCAGGGACACCCGUCCCUCGCUCCGCCUCCUCCCGAGCCCUGUGGGCCGCUCAGUCCUGAAAGUGGUUGGUGUCGCCUCCUUCUGCCCUCAAACGAAAUUCCUCCUCUAACCACCCAGGUCUGGGGGGAAAUGGGGAUCUGGGACCCCCAGUUUUCUUUUCCAGCUCUUCCUGUGUCUGGGGAGAAACUAGCAACUUGCCACUGCUGGUUCCUAUAGUGGUUUGGAAUCACGGUAACCUUUGCCCUGAACUGGCAGUGACCUUCAUAGUGGUAAGGGAACAAAUACGGGUGCUGGGAACAUAAGGGAAUAAUUAUAUAAAAUGGGCCCACUGUGCUGUCUUCCCACAUGCUGUUUUUUUUCCAAGAAGCAAUUUGCCUGCAGCCUAAGUGGACAGGAUAUGUCGCCUUCCUCAUCUAACUACCUGGUAUCAGCAGGAGAAAUGCAGACUUGAAAUAAUGUCCCUGAGAGGAACCCAAGUUACUGUGAGGUGGGAGACUUUUGUGACCCUUUUCAUGACCCAGAUCCUGGAACUCAGGGAGAUAAGGAUAAUUCCGUCUAACCAUAAAACCUGUAAGAAUUUUUGGUUAAGAAUCUAAUUUAGAAUCCAUCAGGCUGGGCCAAAGUGAUCUAGAGUUGUGGCAGUGGGGACGUGAAAGUCUGAAGUCAUCCUGCUCUUGGUCAAAAGUGAAGAUGUGGACCUGGGCUGGACCCUUUAGAAACUCCUCUGGGAUCCGCAAUAAAAUUGGAGUGCAGGAGAGCCAUCCUGUUCCUCUCCUGAGAGGACCCACUCUUGGCCUUGAGAGUAUCCUCCUUUCCCAUCCCAUCUAAUAAACUCAUACCUGUUACUCUGAAGGACCUGUCUGAAAUCUUUUUGUCUUGAUCUCAAGAAUUGGGGUUUGGGGGGGGGCGCUUCUGUGCUCAGUUUUCUGGAAGGUUCCAGCCCUUUAACAAUGGGAAAUUCUGAUCUGACCUGCCAGUGGUCCUUUCUCCUGUGGUAGGAACAAUCCUCAAUUAUGUGAGAUAAUACAGGUGAUGAAGGUAGUCUUGUGCCUGGCAGAUACUGAGAGGUCAGUGGAUGCCUUGUGUUAGCAGCAGCAGCAGCUGCUGCUGCUGCUUCUUAGGCUGAUAGUGUUGAGGAUUUUGUGUUAAAUGUUGAAAAAGAUCUGAAAAAAUUUCCCAAAACAUUGGAAUUUUUUAUUCUUGGGAUUUUUUUGGAGGGUAAUAGAGAUUGAACCUAGGGGCACUUAACCACUGUACUAUCUCCCCAGCUCUUUAAAAAUUUAUUUUGAGACAGUUUCUUGCUAAUUUGCUUAGAGCCCUGCUUAACUAAGUUGCCUCAAACUUGCCAAACAGCUCAGGCUCCUGAGCUGCUGGGAUUAGAGGCAUGUGCCACCAUGCCUGGCAUCAUGUUUGUUUUUCAAAAUCAUGCCUUAGGUUACUGGAAAUAAAAUUCAGUCAACUUCAGGUUGUAUCAGUAUGGUGGAGAUUUUUAUAUGUUCCUCACCCUAGGGUGUAGUGUGGUAGGAGGCAAGAACUGGAUAGAGAGGAUAUGGGAUUUGUAUGCUAUCUUUUCUAGUUUCUUCUUGAGAAGGCACCUGAGAAGAGAGUAUGGGACUGAUGCAUCUUAUCCCCCAUGAACCUGUUUUGAGGUGCAUGCUCACUGAAUUUUUUUGUUUCAUGAACUGUGAGUGAGAUCAUGGAGAAGACAAGUUGGAUGGAUUUGUCCCUAUUUCUUCUUACAUACCUUUGACAUUCUGUGUGGGUGCUCUCUUGGAUGCAUUCUUGAAAACUUGGGUAUAAAUUAGGACAUAUUGAACAUAUCUAUGUAACUAGCAUUUAAGUGAACAUGAGUGUUGUUUUCUUAAUGGGAAUUAUCUUCCCCACCUUUAUUAUUUGGAUUUGAAUGUUGUAUUUCCUAUCAUAGACUUUGGAAGUAUAACUGGGUUUUCCAGUUCUCAUUCCAGAUCUGUGCUGUUUGUUUCUGCUUAACUACGUGUGGCUAUUGGAAGUGUAAGGUAAAGUUAUAUAAAAUUAAAGACGCAGUCCACCAAUUACACUAGCCACAUUUAAAUACUCAGUUCUGCAUGUGACUAACAGCUGCCUUGUUGGACAUUGCAGGUAUAGAACAUCUGUGUUAUUGCACAAUGUUCAAUUGGAUAGAUCCAUUCUAGAAGCUGUAGUUAUGAGUUUGAAGUUUAACAUUUAGAUAAUUUAGUCAGAAUAAAAAAACCCAACAACUUAACUUUUAUUGUAAAACAUCCUGACACACAAUUUGGAAUGAUUUAGAUUGUAAAGGGUUUUCACAUAUAUUACUUCAUUUGACUGUUAAGACAAUCCUAUUAGGUAGGAAGAGGUAGAUAAACAGUAACAAAAUUACACAUUAAGUAGUCAGCAAAACCAGGCAGGACUAGAACUCAAGAAGUUUUUGUUUGGUUUUCGAGCACCAUAAUGGCUGAUUUUUUUUUGUUAUAGUAGGGAUCAGGAUUGAAACCAUGGCAUCAUACCUGCAAGGCAAACAUUUGAUCACCAAGCUACAAUCCUAGUCUUUCUAUAGUUAGUGAGUUAUCUGGGAGAGUUAAGGUGACUGUGUAAGUAGGAACCCUAGACUGGGUCCUUUUUCUGGGCUAGUGUGCCCGAAUACAGUAUAUCGUGGAAAUGUGGUCAUAAGCAACUGCAGCUUUCUCUUUUAGUAGGAGGCUGCCAAGAACUGUAGCACAGCAAACACACAAAUGUAUGCUAUGGUCAAGCAGAAUACAAGAUAAAAGUAAUUGGUAAAGUUGAGUAAAGGGUAACAAGUGAAGAAAAUAGUUUGUAGUGAUGAUGGAUUAAUUGGUAAUGAUAGAAGAUUUAAGGGGCUAUAUUUGUUUCUCAGUGCACGAAAUCUCAUCCUUUUGAGGACCAGCUAAAAGCUUUUAUUAGUUAUUCGAACAGGAAGAAGAACAUCUAAAAAAAUCCAUCAAUGCUAAUCUUUGACAGUGAACAGAUAAAAAUUAAUUUGGGUAAAGUACAUGGGUUUACUAUUUUAAGGAACACAGGAUUUUCACAGACUUAAUUUCUUAAAAUCAUUUUAAUUCUUUAGUUUGCAGCUUGGUGAAGUUAUUUUAUCCCAGGUUUACUCAUAAACAAGUGACUUCCUAUGAUGACCUAAUGAAUGUCAGAACCAGGACUAGAAUCUCCACCUUUUGAAUCUUAGGUGCCAUAUUCUUUGGACAGAAGAAUUACCUUUCCUUUCUACUUUGCACUUCCUCUCCUUUACUGAAUUGAUUAAUAUCCUCACUUAACUUUUGUUUUAAUAGGACUAUAUGCUUUUGGUACAUAACAGCAGGUCAUGUUCUUAGCAGUAAAAAGGCUUUGAUUUUAAAGAUUAUCAAUCACUGUUUGUUGGGUUCUAUUAUGUUAGAUAUUUUGUGUUUGUUUUCAGAACUAUAUAAGAAGCCAGGUGCAGUAGUGCAUGCCUGUAAUUCUAAUAGUUUAGGAGGCUGAGACAGGAGGAUCCUGAGAUCAGAGCCAGCCUCAGCAACGGUGAGGCGCCAAGCAACUCAGUGAGACCCUGUCUCUAAAUAAAAUACAAAAUAGUAAAUAAAAUACAAAAUAGAGCUUGGGAUGGAUGUGGCUCAGUAGUUGAGGGUCCCUGAGUUCAGUACCUGGUACCAAAAAAAAAAAAAAAAACCAAAAACCUGUAUAAGAUAAAUGUUAUCCUGAUUUUAUAGAAAUGGGGGCUGUUGUAAGAGAUUUUUAAUUCUUUUGUUAUAAACUUAGCUUUAACGUAUACCAGAACAGCAACAUAUACCAGAACAGCAAUCCUAAAACCUCUGGUUUUCGGUAAUUUCAAAAAAUGAUGGAAUUCUUUCUAUAGUUUCUAUUAUGGCUUUAGCUACCAGACAUUUGUUCAUAUCAAAUCUCUAAAGUUUUAUCCUGGGCCCAGACCCAUAUUACCAUCUGGCUUUGGAACAUUUUCAUCUAGUUUUUCCAUUAUUGAAUGAAAUAAGUUUAAACUUGAACUAAUUUCCAUCUUCCCUAAAAACUCCUCUCUUCUCCCUAAACUGUAUUACCCAUUUGCCCAUACCAGAAAUCUGAACAUUAUUUCCUCACUGUCUCCCAGUUUAUGGCAUAUAAAUAUUCUCCAAAAUCUUUAGUACUAUCUCCUGAAUAGCUCUUCUGCAUCCAUGCUUGGUCUGUGCCCUUCUAAAACCCUCCACAGCAUUCUCCCUGCCUCUGGAAAAUCUUUAUUCUCAGCCACUUUACCUUGGGAAAAAAAGGCGAUUGUCUAGAUUAAAAUCAUGAUUAAUGUUUGAAAGUAGGUUUUUCCUUUUAUUCAGUGCUGAAAAUUGUACCCAGGGCCUCCCUGGUGCUAGGCAAGCACUCUACCACUUGAGGCACACCCCAGCAAGAACACUUGUUUUUAGUAAUUUAAUUAUUGUUACAAAAAGAAGUGGGAGGACACAGGUCCUUUUGUGGGACACACACACACACACACAGACACACACACAAUCAUAAUUAAUAGAAUCUUUUUUUCAGUGUUAGGGAGGACCUUAUUCAGUUACUGGGGCUUCAUUUGCCUCAUUUNAAUGGUUUUAUCCCUCAUCAGAGUUUACUGGGAGAGAGAU